GAUGAAGAACGUAGCGAAAUGCGAUACUUGGUGUGAAUUGCAGAAUCCCGUGAACCAUCGAGUCUUUGAACGCAAGUUGCGCCCGAAGCCACUAGGCCGAGGGCACGCCUGCCUGGGCGUCACACGCCGUUGCCCCCCCAUCUACUCCUUCGGGAUUGCGGGGGGGCGGAUGAUGGCCUCCCGUGCGCCUAGCCGCGCGGUUGGCAUAAAUACCAAGUCCUCGGCGACGCACGCCACGACAAUCGGUGGUUGCGAAACCUCGGUUGCCCGUCGUGUGCGUUCGUCGCGCAUCGAGGGCUCGAAAAAAUGCUCGGCUCCGGCUCGGCUUUCAACGCGACCCCAGGUCAGGCGGGGUUACCCGCUGAAUUUAAGCAUAUCAAUAAGCGGAGGA
rnacentral:misc_RNA from 1 species